UUUUUUUUUUAAUUUUUUACUUACAUUUGGAGGAUAAUGAACUACCCAUAUUUGUUCUUAGCAUCUGAUACAUGUCUGACAAGAAAAAUCAGUAGAAAGUGAGGAGUGAGAGUGACAUAUUACUGAUACAUAUUACCAUUGUUUUUUACAUGGCAUUUGAUAAAUGUACUUAGUCUACAAUAACCUUCAAACAUGACUCUUCCACUUUUCUAAAGUUGAAGAACAGCAAUACCACAACCAGCCCAACAAUUAUCACAUUCAUUUCUCAUUCUCUUCCUGGGGGCAAGAUGUUGAAAUGAGAAUCAGACAUCAUCUUGUGGAUAUUAUAUCUAUUUAGAUCCAUUACAUCAAGAAGUGUGAAGUCAAGACAGUAAAACCUCCUUGCAUAUACCAUGGUUAUAGAUGCCCUAAAAGAGAAAUGCAAAGUUACUGUCACCAAACUAAAGACAAUAACAAAUUAACAAUACUGCCCUAAAAACUUGGGAUAAGCAUUAUUUUGUUGAGGGCCAUGCAUAGCACAAGUAGUUUUGGAUGGGAUUGAGACUGUAAAAUGGUGAAGACUUUUGGGCAAAUUAUGUCAAUGUAUACACACAUCAUAUAACAUUGUUUACUUAUUUUUAUUUCCCUAAAAAAUAAUGUAAUUAGAGUUUUCUAUUUGAUGAGCUUUAUGCAAGCUCAUCCUGAUAUUUGUCAUUGUUGAGAGGUGGUUGAAAAAUGGAAGUAUUUAGCCACUAUUACCUGAGACAAAAUUCAGUGUUUAUGAAGCAACUGAGAUUGAAUCGAGUGACCGAGCAGGUAAUGUUCUUAAAUCUUGAAGUCAAAAAUCGUAGAGCAAAUAUAAGUUGUUCUAUGAUGCAUUUGGUAUAGCAGUUAGGCAAAUGGCUGACAACAUUGCAAAAGUCUACGCAGAUGAUUCUCAUAAUGUGAGUUGAGAAAAAAAUUUGCAAAAUUUUAUGAGAAUGUAAAUCAACAACCGGACUUUCAUAGGCUUAAGAUGUGCUCAAAAGUGAUGGAAGAAAAUGAUGUGCAAGUUAAUAAUUGUACAAUUGUUUGAGUCGGAUUAGUAUAAUGUGUUAUGUUUAAGUGGUACCUCUUUUGGACUUCUAUCUUGUGAUACUAGUUUAUGUAAUAGAAGGACAUAUGAGUAGGGACUCAUUUUUCUUUGACAUGUAAGCACAAAACUUCUAAUGGGGCUAUGAUGAGUGGAAAUAUAAAUAUAUUUACAUAUCUUUAAUUAUAUGUUAUUCUUUGUAUUUACUUAUUUUUCUAUUCUUUCAUUUACAAUUCUAAAGGAUUGUCCAAAGUUCAUGUCAACCCAAUUUCACUAGAACUGGAAUUGCUAUUCCAAUUCAGCUAUCCAAACAAAGCCUUAAGGAAAUUUGUGAACUUCCAAGGAAAAAGUAUAUAUAUCAAACAGAAGAAUGCAACUUGCUAGUUAAAAGUUUAUUUUAAAGUGUCAUUUCUCGAAAUGAAAUUUCCCAUAAAAAAGGCUUAUGAAAACAAAAUGAGACCUACAUUCAAAAAAAAAAAAGAGAAAGUUCGAAA
rnacentral:misc_RNA from 1 species